UGGCAGCAUCGAGGCCGACUUCACAG
rnacentral:piRNA from 1 species